AUUGAACGCUGGCGGCAGGCCUAACACAUGCAAGUCGAGCGAGCGGCGGGCGGGUGAGUAAUGUAUGUGGACUGCCCGAACGCGGGGGAUAACUGCUGGCAACGGUAGCUAAUACCGCAUACUAGCGGAUAACCCAUAUGGGAUUAGCUAGUCGGGGAGGUAAUGGCUCACCUCGGCGACGAUCCCUAGCCGGUCUGAGAGGAUGAUCAGCUACACUGGGACUGAGACACGGUCCAGACUCCUACGGAGGUAGCAGUGGGGAAUAUUGCACAAUGGGCGAAAGCCUGAUGCAGCCAUGCCGCGUGUAUGAAGAAGGCCCUAGGGUUGUAAAGUACUUUCAGUCGGGAGGCGUUACCGACAGAAGAAGCACCGGCUAACUCCGUGCCAGCAGCCGCGGUAAUUC
rnacentral:rRNA from 1 species